rnacentral:tRNA from 1 species
GAGAUAUAGCUCAAAGGUAGAGCAAAUGGCUGUUAACCAUUAGGUUGUAGGUUCGAGUCCUAUUAUCUCC